rnacentral:rRNA from 1 species
UCGGGAAUUUUGGGCAAUGGGCGAAAGCCUGACCCAGCAACGCCGCGUGAAGGAUGAAAUCCCUCGGGAUGUAAACUUCGCAAGAACGGGAAGAAUAAGUCGGUGUUAACACCACCGGCGAUGACGGUACUGUUUGUAAGCUCCGGCUAACUCCGUG